UCCACUCGUCUGGCCCUUCGCUGUUUGGGGGCUGGACAUGGUUGGACCACUGAAAACGGGCAGGAGCGGCUUCACUCAUGUGCUAGUAGCAGUCGACAAGUUCACCAAAUGGAUUGAAGCUAAGCCUAUCAAGAAUCUUGAUGCUUGCACCGCUAUCAGUUUCAUCAGAGAGUUGAUAUUCAGAUAUGGAGUUCCGCACAGCAUCAUCACUGACAAUGGGUCAAACUUCCAUUCUGACAAAUUCAGGGCCUUUUGUGCCUCUCAGGGCACACGAGUCGACUAUGCUUCGGUCGCUCACCCUCAGUCAAAUGGACAGGCGGAAAGAGCAAACGGCCUAAUUCUCAAAGGACUAAAACCUCGAUUGAUGCACGAUCUCAAGCACGCAGCAGGUGCAUGGGUCGACGAGCUUCCAUCAGUUCUUUGGGGAUUGAGGACGACCUCGAAUCGAUCGACUGGAAGAACCCCAUUCUUUCUGGUCUACGGAGCCGAAGUAGUCCUGCUGAGUGACAUACUUAACAACGCCCCUCGAGUCGAGCUCUACUCUAAAGAAGAAGCAGAACAAGCCCGGCAGGACGGAGUCGACCUCCUGGAAGAAGAAAGAGAAAUGGCCAUGAUCCGAUUGACCAUCUAUCAGCAAGACUUGCGUCGAUUCCAUGCCAGAAAUGUGAAGAGUCGAGCCUUCCUAGAAGGAGACUUAGUCCUCCACGUGGAUCAGCAAAAACCACACAAACUCGCUCCUACUUGGGAAGGCCCCUUCAUAGUCACCAGAGUCCUCCACAAUGGAGCGUACCACCUCUACAAUGUCAAUCGCCAGAUUGAUGAGCCACGAGCCUGGAAUGCGGAGCUACUCCGCCCCUUUUAUACUUGAAUUCUCACUUGGAUGAGAUGUAAUAAGAAAAAAAACUCAUGUAGUUUAUUUAUCAAAGACAAGAGCGUUAUAAUUUUCCCAGUGAUUGUUAUUGUUUUUGUUUGCGUAAGAAAUUCCCCAGUGGGUGGCUUAGCUACGAAUCCGCUUCGCCUAAGUUUGUAAAAAUAAUUUCCUACCGAGUGGUGAACCAGCCUCCCACUCGGGGGCUUAGCUGCGAACCCGUUUCACCUAAGUAUUUAAAAAUCCUACCGAGUGGAGAGAAAUCCUCCCACUCGGGGGCUUAGCUGCAGUCCAGUACUCGCCUAAGUUCUCUCACUCGGAGACUUAGCUGCAGUCUGGCACUCGCCUAAGUUUGAAAAAUCCUACCGAGUGGAGAGCAAACCUCCCACUCGGGGGCUUAGAUGCAGUCCAGUACUCACCUAAGUUUUCUCACUCGGAGACUUAGCUGCAGUCUGGCACUCGCCUAAGUUUGAAAAAAUCCUACCGAGUGGAGAGCAACCCUCCCACUCGGGGGCUUAGCUGCAGUCCAGUACNNNNNNNNNNNNNNNNNNNNNNNNNNNNNNNNNNNNNNNNNNNNNNNNNNNNNNNNNNNNNNNNNNNNNNNNNNNNNNNNNNNNNNNNNNNNNNNNNNNNNNNNNNNNNNNNNNNNNNNNNNNNNNNNNNNNNNNNNNNNNNNNNNNNNNNNNNNNNNNNNNNNNNNNNNNNNNNNNNNNNNNNNNNNNNNNNNNNNNNNNNNNNNNNNNNNNNNNNNNNNNNNNNNNNNNNNNNNNNNNNNNNNNNNNNNNNNNNNNNNNNNNNNNNNNNNNNNNNNNNNNNNNNNNNNNNNNNNNNNNNNNNNNNNNNNNNNNNNNNNNNNNNNNNNNNNNNNNNNNNNNNNNNNNNNNNNNNNNNNNNNNNNNNNNNNNNNNNNNNNNNNNNNNNNNNNNNNNNNNNNNNNNNNNNNNNNNNNNNNNNNNNNNNNNNNNNNNNNNNNNNNNNNNNNNNNNNNNNNNNNNNNNNNNNNNNNNNNNNNNNNNNNNNNNNNNNNNNNNNNNNNNNNNNNNNNNNNNNNNNNNNNNNNNNNNNNNNNNNNNNNNNNNNNNNNNNNNNNNNNNNNNNNNNNNNNNNNNNNNNNNNNNNNNNNNNNNNNNNNNNNNNNNNNNNNNNNNNNNNNNNNNNNNNNNNNNNNNNNNNNNNNNNNNNNNNNNNNNNNNNNNNNNNNNNNNNNNNNNNNNNNNNNNNNNNNNNNNNNNNNNNNNNNNNNNNNNNNNNNNNNNNNNNNNNNNNNNNNNNNNNNNNNNNNNNNNNNNNNNNNNNNNNNNNNNNNNNNNNNNNNNNNNNNNNNNNNNNNNNNNNNNNNNNNNNNNNNNNNNNNUUCUCUCACUUGGAGACUUAGCUGCAGUCCGGCACUCGCCUAAGUUUGAAAAAUCCUACCGAGUGGAGAGCAAACCUCCCACUCGGGGGCCUAGCUGCAGUCCAGUACUCGCCUAAGUACGAAACACAUCUCAAUCCACAAGGACGACGAGGUGCAGGUCGACUGCCGCCUUCUCCUUAGGAGCUUCGCCACAAAUACAACAUGCACUUCCUCCCACUCCGCAAGGGCGAUGAGGUGCGGGCCGACUGCCACCUUCUCCUGGAGAGCUUCGCCACAAAUACAAUGUGCGCUCCAUCCCGCUCUGCAGUAACGAGGUGCAGGUCGACUGCUGCCUUCCUCUGGAGAGCUUCGCCACAAAUACAACAUGCGCUCCAUCCCACUCCGCAAGGACGACGAGGUGCAGGACUACUGCCACCUUCUCUUGAGGAGAUUCGCCGACCCUCAAGGGCAACGAGGCGUAGGUCAACUGCUUCCUUCUCCUUCAGAGCUGCGCUACAAAUACAAAAAUUGUCUCGAAUGAAGCAUGAGUUCACUUGGCAGGGGAUUCAUGAAGAUAUUCAAUGAUAAACCAAGUUCAGAUAAAUCCUAAAGGUUCCGGACCACAGAUCGAAGUGCUCGGGCAUUCAGCCCGAAAGAGUUUAACGGUUACAAAAACCACUCAGCAUUCUGAGGCAAAUUUAAGGUGAGGCAUAAAAGUUUGUUCACUCUGCGAGAGGAGGACUAGCAGGCUCGACGAACUCGUCUAAGUCGAUGCUGUCGGCGAUCCGAGUGGCUGCAGCGAUGAAAGUCUCCAUAAAAGAUCAGAAGUCAUGCUUCUGGGUGCUGGCGACCUUGAUUGCUGCCAGCUUAUCUUGUCACACCUCCUUGCAAUGGACGCGAACCAAAGACAGAGCCACAUCAGCGCCACACCGGGCAGAAGACUUCUUCCACUCCUGCACUCGGUCAGGGAUUUCGUUAAGUCGAGUCAUCAGGGACUCAAGAUCAUUUUGGAGCGUGGCCUCUGGCCAAAGUGCCGGGUCGAUCCGUGACAUGGCGACCUUCAGUCGAGCCAAGUAGUCCACGACACCGUCGAUGCGGGAUUCCAGUCGGAGCAGAUUCAUGGCAGUUUCAUCUUUCACGGGAGAAUUGAUUGGAUCCAAACCUGGUUCAAUCCGCCCAAUCUCCUCCUCAAAGUCCUGGCAAAACUCUGCAUUCACGAUCCAAGGAUAAGUCAAUUUUCAUACGCUGAGUCGACACAAAAAAAAUCAGUCGGAACAAAAUGUGCACCUUCAAGCUUGAGGAACAACUUCUUGGCAAGGCUCCUCAGAUAGCUCUCCAGAUCGUCCCUCCUGCGAGCGAUGCCUUCCAUCUUCUCGCACAGGUUGAGGUUCUCCUUCUUCCAGCGCGAGCACUCCUUGUUGGCUUCGUUCAGAGCAGAUUUCAGCUUGGUAUUCUCUUCUUCCAACUGGCCGACCGAAGCCAGUUUCUGUUCAGCCAGAGCGGUCGUGUCGUCAGCCUCCUUUCGAGUAGCAGCCAAAUCCUGAUCCUUCUUCACCAGAGCUUCUCUUAGUUUUUCUACAAAGAAAUGAUGAUUGAUUCAGAAAGAGCAGAAGGGUACUCAAGCCCAAGACAGACCAGUCGACAAACUCGUCUUACCGGUGGCGCCGUCCUUGACCUUUUGCAGCUCUGUCUUGGCAGGCUCCAAGUCAAGGUUCAGUUGAAUCUUCUAUUUCUCCAAGUCAGCAAAGCGAGCUCCAAGAUCACAAGAUUUCUGAAAUCAAAGGGGAGAAGUUAUUUUAAAGCAAAAAACGACAAAGACAAUAAGUACUAACACUACGAUCGACUGCCCGCAGUCCACCAUAGUCUCGGGGACUACACCCAGUGGGUGCACUUUGCGUUCCCCCACUGGUUCUGAUCCCACUCGACCGGCCCGCCGGAGUCGAGUGCAGGGAGUAAAAAAAGUGGAGAGAAAGUAGAACUCAGACCACAGUUGACUGCCAGCAGUAGACCGUGGUCUCGGGGACUACACCCAGUGGGUGCACUUGGCGUGCCCCCGCCGGUUCUGAUCCCACUCGACCGGAUCGAGUGGAAGAGACAAACUACCAGUUUGGUUUACACUCGAAAAAAUACAAAGACUACAGUCGACUACCAGCAGUCCACCGUAGUCUCGGGGACUACACCCACUGGAUGCACUUGGCGUGCCCCCACUAGUUCAAAAAUUCAAUCGGCGCACCUAGUGGGUGUACAGAUGCAAAGAUUUUUGGAAAGAGUCUUCAAAUAGCAUAUCCUAACAGAACAAGCGGCAACCAACUAACCUGAAUGUUGCUCUGGAGAGCCGAGCUGGCAUCGUAGGCGGCCUGGCUAGCGUCCCGCACCGUCUUCACCUUCUCCAUCAUAAUGCCCGCCCGGCGUAUGGCUUCCUUGGCAGCAUUCACUUCAUCCUCUGGGACAUGAUGGGUCGCAAAAACUGAAGGCAGUUCGACAGGGGCCCGAGCAGUCGACGAGGAAGGUAAGGCACUCGACAAUGGCACGGCGAAGGUAACAGAACCCCGAUUGGCAUCACCAGCGUCCUGAACGACUGGCUCCGCCCUUGGCGUCGAUUGUGGCACCUCGCUUGCAGGAGCUUGCCUAUUUUUCCUUGUCAAAGGCCUCUCGGGCUCUUCAUCAUCAUCAUCAGGGAGGUCAAUAAUGUUAGGAGCUGUUCAAAGUUCAAUCAACAAAAUCGCAUCACCCAAUGGUACACAUUGCAGUUGAAUCGACCAAAAUAAAGACAGAAUGGCAGAAAUCAUACCCAGAUUAGAAGUGACCGCAUCCUCCAUCACCUCAUCAUCGCCCCUGUAAGCUGAGGUCCCGGAAGUAGCAGCGCUGCCAGCUCCAAAGUUUGUCCGGUUAAAACAAGAAAAACAAACAUCACAGGGCGUCGAGUGAAGAUAAAAGGAGACACUCACGCAGAAGCGAUGGGGAUGUCAAUCUUAAUCUUCGGCGAUGCCUUCCGAAGCUUCGGCUCUGCGACUUUGGGGUGCUUUGACGCUUUUUCAGUCGAAGUUGGCGAAGAGGUCCGAGGACGCUUUGAAGACUGGCCAGCUUGAGCAAUCUCCUUUUCACGGGCGCUCGGUCGUUCUUGGUCAAGUUUGGACCGGCUCUCCCUGCAAGGAGGUGACUCGACUUCUUCUUCGUCACUUGGAUCAUCGCUUUCUUCGUCCCCUCCACCGUCAGAAUCCCAUUCGCCACUGUCGCUGCCGCUCGCCUCUCCUUCCGGGUCCUGCUCUUGCUCUCCGUUGGGCAUUGAAUACAUUUCAAUAAUGGCCUGAAAGAAAGCAGGGAGAACAAAGUCAAUCGACUCAGUAUAGGCGGUUGUGCGAGUGAAUUCAGAUUACAAACAAAAGCUCAGAAUCGGACCUUCUCUGGUACAUGAGACUAGUCGAAUGGAGGAACUCUCCUGGCUCCCCUGGGGUUGUCCUUGUUUCCGGUCAUGCCCGACAGCCACUUCUCUAGUGUGUCGUCAUCGACCUCCUCCGGGUGAAUCCGAGUGGAGUCUUCAAGACCCGAAUACAUCCAUGUCGGAUGGUCUUGGGCUUGAAGAGGCUGGAUGCGUCGCUGAAGGAAGACCUCCAAGAGAUCCAUAUCGGUGACCCCGUCACGGAUAAGCUGGACCACUCGCUCUACCAGCACCCUCACCUGUGCCUUCUCCUCCAGGAGCACCUUCAAAGGGGAGGGUUUUCUCACUCGGUCCAUGGUGAAAGGAGGGAGGCCAGUCGACUGGCCUGGUGUCGACUGGUCUUUGCAGUAAAACCAGGUCGACUGCCAUCCGUGAACUGAGUCGGGAAGAAUCAUGGCCGGAAAGGAACUUUUCCCUCUCAUCUGAACACCAAGACCCCCACACAUCUGAAUCACUUGAGUCCUUUCGUCACUCGGAUUGGCCUUUUUCACCAUCUGGGAGCGACAAGUGAAAAUGUGCUUGAAAAGGCCCCAGUGAGGCCGACAACCAAGGAAAUUCUCACACAAAAAAAUGAAAGCGGCGAGAUAAACGAUCGUGUUGGGAGUGAAGUGGUGGAGUUGUGCCCCAAAGAAGUUCAGAAAUCCCCGAAAGAAAGGGUGAGGAGGCAAGGAAAAUCCACGGUUGACGUGGGUGGCAAGGAGAACGCGCUCACCCUCCCGAGGUUGCGGCUCGGAUUCCUUCCCUGGAAGCCACGCCGAUUCAUAGGGGAUCAGCCCUCCUUCGGCUAGGUCAUCGAGGUCUUCUUGGGUGAUUAUUGAGCGGAUCCAGUCGCCCUCGAUCCAUCCCUUCGGCAGGCCGGUUCGCGAGGAGGAUCCGCCCUGACUGGUCGCCUUCCCCUUCGACCUCGCCAUCGCCUUCUUUGCCCGCUCCAGAGCCGCCGUCUUCUCCUUCCCCAUCGUCGCCGGCGAGCGCGGCGAGGGAGUGUGAAGAGGAGAAGAGAUAAUGGGGACGCACUGUUCGAGAGACCUCGGUCCGACGCCUUAUAUGAGGCCGCUUCCGAGUGGCUGACUAGUAGGCCCGGGCGGCCCUGUAAAAUCCCGUAACAAUCGCACGUGCGAUACGUGGCGAAAAAGGUGGCGCGGGGAUCGAGGCGGAUCCGCUCUAUCCCAUCCGAUUACUGCGGCCUCCCAUGUCCUGCGCGCUUCCCAAAAUUCAGAUCCCGCUAAAUCUACGGGCAGCAGAACAACUUGUCAAACCGAAGAUCUCCUCCGCACAGUCGCUCGAAGCCUUUCAAGUAAAGAAACUCACUCGACAAAAAAACUAAGAAUGGAUCAAGGUGACUGAAAAAAGGAAGUUGCUGUCAUCACUCGGGUUCAUUGAUCCGAAACCAGAUAUGCUCAUGGCAUGAAAAAUGAAUCGGGGAAAUUCUCAACUCCUUUCCCACUCAAACCUCGAUCCAUUCGGGGGCUAAUGAUGAAGCUAUGUACCUAGGGUAGGGUCAUGGACCUGUCCAAACUGCCCUACCCAAGGACAUCUCUAGAAGAAAUCACCUUUCAAUCGUCUUGGAAGUGUUCCACUCGACAAACUCGGAGACACUCGACCAAGAAGCGAUCACUCGACUAAGACCAAACCACUCGACGGCCAGGAGACCUAAAGGCACUCCGCACGCUAACGGUCGGUUAUUAAGUAGCUUUUAUGAUCAUCAUAGCACUUUAUUAAGGGCGUUACCAGUAACGCCUGACCUUAAUGUAUUUAGAACCCUGCAUAAUUGAGGGCCGGAGGGGUCCGGCGAACUCUAUAUAAGCCACCCCCCUCCUCAGUGUAAAGGGUUCGCACCCCUGUAAACCAUACACGCAUAAUCCAGUCAACCGCCUCCGGGCUCCGAGACGUUGAGCUAUUACUUCCUCCGAGAAGGGCCUGAACUCGUAAACCUCGUGUGCUUACAACUUCUCCAUAGCUAAGAUCUUGCCUCUCCAUACUUACCCCCCCCACACACACAUUACUGUCAGACUUAGAACCACGACAGGGGGCACCGCGCCUACCCUGCCAUAGCGCUCAUGCAUCGCCUUGCAUUCGUGCAUUCUUCAAAGGUUGCCAUGUUCCACCAGGUUUGACAGGUGUGAGUGAAUUUCAAUUUAUGUGUGUUGUUUUUGCUAUAUUUUCAAAGCUAUUUGGGAUUGCACAAAAUGUGAUGUUGGUCAGUUACAUAUACUCUGUGUCAAGUUCUCCCCUCUUCUUCCUCUAGCAGUAACGCAGUACAAUCCUGGAGCAAUGCUUCUCCGGUAGUUCGCCCCUUGAUCUUCAACUUUGUUGCAUAUUUCCCUUCCCCACUACAAUCCCUUCGCACUCAAUGUUUGUAUUGAUGCUAAUUUCUGCUCUUAAUUUCUUGCGGUUAUUAACGCCAAAGUGCUCGGGACUGGUUUUGGCUUGUUUAGCAAAUUUCUAGGGGUGUUUCUGGAGUUUUUUUGUUCCUGAAUUCUGAAACCCGGGAUCCCAAUGGCUGCUGGCAGGUUAGUUAAGUGGAAUGUCAUAAUACAUAACCCUAGCAGCACACCCUUCCUUUCCCAAUCUCGGCUUAACUAGCCGCACCAGUGAAGGCAGAACGAGCAGCUGGGCAGCGGCAAUGGUGAAUCAUCCUCCUCCCAGCGGCGUUGAUCAUCGCCAUGGCGACCUCGCGCACUCCCUUCCUGACCUUGACCUCAAAGAAUGGCUUCCCCUACAUCGCUUUCCCGUUCAUGUAUGAUUUCCUUCUUCCAUCAAAAAUCACCCUUGAUGUCAUCUCGAUCCAAAUUUUGCACAGGUGUUGCUAUAUUGGAUGCGGUAAAUUGAUUUGGUCAGACCUUGGAGAUAGGGAGGGGGAGAGGUUGUGGCGGCGAGCAAACACAACGGACGGAGGUUACUCGAGUAUGUUUUUAAGUUAUCCCUAUACCAGAUCAGUUACAUGAGAUCGAAGAGAACCUUGCAGAUUCAUAUUCAUCACUCCAAAAGUUGUACCUUACUUGAAUAUUGAUUCUUAGUUUUUCAUGUGCAAGGCAUGGUGCUCUCCGCUGGUUCUACACUUCUACUUCUACUCCCUGGUUGAACAAGCUCCUAAUCCAUGUUACAAGACAGGUAGAAUUGUUUUUUUACCUGACAGGUAGUACCGAUUUUUUCUUGCCUUCUUCUCAGUUUAUUAUUUUUGGACAAGCACAUCAGUUCAGGAUUCGUGCAGUAAAAAUUUAGUGUCUCUUGAACUACAUGGUCCUGUUAUAAAGCUAACCUUUAUUAGCACCAGAUCACUUGCAUACGAUUGAAACUACUAUCGUUAGCAAAUAUUAUUAGGUAUCAUUGUCAUGCAGUAUGAAACAAUUGGAACGAACAUAUGAGGUUAACUACAUUUCCAAUAUGUUGCUUAUACUGAUCAAAAAUACGGACACACUAAAUGGCAUUUGCUGCUAAUCGUGCGAGUGUCAGUAUGACAUAUUUUAUGCUUCACUAGGUAUCUCUCAGCUAUGUACAAUCAGAUAAAUCUCCCUAAAAGAAGCAAAAUCACAUGAUUAUGUCGGUACUAAUUUACUUAUUUUAAUAGUCUGCCUAUCUUAAGGCAAGUAUCUAAUUUUACUCCACCAAUAGCGUGCACAUAGGUAUAGGGGCACUUACACAUGCACAUGCAUACACUGAGACUCAAUUACAUUAGAAUUGGUCUACAUUUUAUUUGCCUAGCUUCAAGCCUUCAAAGAUGUGGCGAAGACAGGUAGUAAUAGCGAUUGACAAUUUUCAAUUAUCGUGAUAUUAGGUAAGUAUCAAGGGUGAGGUGUAUUUGGUACUAGGUUUCUGCCCAUAUUCAGUAAGAUAAAAAUUUGUUGAGUAUUAAAACCAUUAUUUUGUAACUUUACAGAUGAGCUAUUGUAUUUGUACCAAGUAGAUACAUCAGCAGUCAAUAGUCCACCAUAUGACGCUUCGGUUCAUCGACGUUUAGUUCAUUAUUAUUUUUUCUAUUACUCUAUGGAAGAAGAAACAAUGCCUAAUGGAUUUCCCCUGUUUUAUUCACCUCUUUACAGACUAGCGGCUAAUGGAUUUUGUGUGUUCCAACAACAGUUGGUUGGGUUCAAUUCAAUUCCUAGAAAUGGCAGGAGAGAUGCAAAUCCAUCAGAUUGUGCACUGCAAGGUUUGCUUCUUCUUAUGCUCGGUGCAGAUGUGAUGUAGUAAGAUAUUAGUUAUGUGCAUCAGCGUUUGUACAUUUUUAAAAAUAUUUUGCUUUAUACUGUAUUUCAUUUAACAUGAGAACAAAUAUAAAAGCAGAUUAUCAGCUUUCUAUCUCAAUUCUCAUUACAAUGUUUACCAGAAUGGCACAUAUUCGUAUUUGGGGAUAUUUUGAAAGGGCAAUCCUCUUACUGUUUGUAAAAACCGUACUAUUUCCCAACUCUGUCAAACUGACGAUGAGUAUGAUGCUACAUCUUCUAUAUUUCACCAAACAGGAAUUGUGUGUUUUAGUAGAACUGGACAUUUUAAUAGGUUGUAUUUUUUCUCUUUGAUGUUUGUUUUCAUUUGUUGCAAAACUAGGAGUUUGUCUUUGCUGCCACGUCUAAGCUUGAUCUGUCCAUGCAUGUGUGGCAAUUAUACCGCGUGACUAAAACACUAUUUUGCAUACAAUUGUGCCAAUCACUAAUAUUAUGACGCUGAAAUGGACGGGUGCGGCAACGCGUGCCUUUCAUGAUCUAGUGAGGGAUGAAUACUACCCUCUUGUUGUGCUUCGGUGUGGGGACGAUUUGCCCCUUGGCUGGAAGACGGUGGGCGAUUUCCUUCGCCAGGUACCCGGCCGCCCGAAGCUCGACAAUGUCCUUCUCCUUGAUGGAGGAAGCCAUCCACUUGCCUUGACCUCCGGAUACGGACAUGAUUGAGUGCUUGCUCGAGUGGGAAAAAGAUGAGAACUUGGGAGCUGGAGCUCAAGAGUGGAAGGGCAGAGGAAGAGAGAACGCGUGGGUGAAGAAAGGGGAUUCUUAUCUUCUUAUAAAGGCAGUGAAUAUUGAACGCUUCCCCACUCGCCUUAAAACUUGCCUGUUCCCAAGGGCUGUGUAAAUGACAUGGUUGGGUUACCCACACCCGUAUUGAUAAGAAUCCUGCAAUAAGGGGACACGGUCUCUGCUUCGACAAGACGUGCCAAUGGAAACCGCGUCUCGAAACAUGGAGCGGCAGACGAAAAACGGUUCAAAAUUAUGACCGGGCAAACAUGAUGUCAUGUUGUGAAAAGUUGUCAGCGGAUUGGACCCAUGGAAUAUUAUAUUCUCUCUGCGGUUGUGUGUGGUGCGUGUGUUACAGGUCCGGACACGUUCAAUACGUCUGAAGACUAUCUUGGAGUUUGGAAGGAGGAACCCGCCUUGCAAUGCCGAAGACAGAUCUACGCGCCGGAUACCUUGUCAUUGAAGCCAGGUUCAGGGGCUAAUGAGGGAGUCCUGAACUAAGGGGUCCUCGGGCGUCCGGCCUGGUAGCCAUGGGACGGACUGAUGGGUUGUGAAGAACACAAAGACCGAAGACUGCACCUGUGUCCGGAUGGGACUCUCCUUGGCGUGGAAGGCAAGCUUGGCGAUCAAAUAUGUAGAUUCCUUUCUUUGUAACCGGCCUUGUUAACCCCGGAUCCUCCCGGUGUCUAUAUAAACCGGAGGACUUAGUCCAGAGAGAGACAUUACCAUAGUCAUACAGGCUAGGCUUUUAGGGUUUAGCCAUUACGAUCUCGUGGUAGAUCAACUCUUGUAAUACUCAUAUUCAUCAAGAUCAAUCAAGCAGGAAGUAGGGUAUUACCUCCAUAGAGAGGGACCGGACUUGGGUAAACAUCAUGUCCCCUGUCUCCUGUUACCAUCGACCUUAGACUGUAACGCCCCGAGAGCGAUGUGCCAGGUGUCUUCGAGUUAUUCGCUGCUGUUGCCAUGUCUUUUUCUUAUGUGUUGCAUUUCAUCAUGUCAUCAUCUGCAUUGCAUCACCUUGUUUUUGAAACUUGCAUCCGUCCGGGUUCUCCCCGUUCCUUCCGUUGUCCAUUUUGAGUCCAGACACCCUUGCACGCGCCCGCGACACGUCCGAAAUAUUAUUUUAUAAGUGGCCGGAAAAUGUUCUCGGAUUGGGUUGAAAGUUGUUGUGUGGUCUUAUUAUAGUGUAGAUAGACCGCCUGUCAAGUUUCACCGCAUUCGGAGUUCGUUUGACGCCCCAACGAUUAACUAUAGCGGCAAUAUAGCCGGUUUAACGUCGGACGUUUUCGGUCUCCGGAUACAGUCGCCAGGCCUCCCUCUCUUCUCUUUUCUCAGCUUGAGGCCGUCUACAUAGCUCACUACCUACCGCCAGGUCCAACCUAACCUCUCUCGUCAGCCCGCAGCCCCCCUCGCGCGCGUCCGAAAGUUGUCCCGAACCCGACCCGGACUGUCGCCACCGUUGUGUCCGGGUCAUCCCCGAACGUCGACAAAACAUCUCCGUUUUGUUUAUUGGGCUUCCUAACCUAUUCUUCUCCGACCGUCCGAUUUUGAUAGGAUGAUUCAAAAUACUCCCUCCUAUCUGUUGGGGAACGUAGUAAUUUCAAAAAUUUCCUUACACACGCAAGAUCAUGGUGAUGCAUAGCAACGAGAGGGGAGAGUGUGAUCUACGUACCCUUGUAGACCAACAGCGGAAGCGUUGUGACAACGCGGUUGAUGUAGUCGUACGUCUUCACGAUCCGACCGAUCCAAGCACCGUUACUCCGGCACCUCCGAGUUCUUGGCACACGUUCAGCUCGAUGACGAUCCCCGGGCUCCGAUCCAGCAAAGCAUCGGGGAGGAGUUCCGUCAGCACGACGGCGUGGUGACGAUCUUGAUGUUCUAUCAUCGCAGGGCUUCGCCUAAGCACCGCUACAAUAUGACCGAGGUGGAAUAUGGUGGAGGGGGGCACCGCACACGGCUAAGGAACGAUCACGAAGAUCAACUUGUGUGUCUAGAGGUGCCCCCCUGCCCCCGUAUAUAAAGGAGCAAGGGGGGGGGGCGGCCGGCCUAGAAGGGGGCGCGCCAAGGGGAGUCCUACUCCCACCGGGAGUAGGACUCCUUCCUUCCUUGUUGGAGUAGGAGAAGAGGAAAGAGGGGGAGAGGAAGAAGGAAAAGGGGGCUGCGCCCCUUGUCCAAUUCGGACCAGAGGGGGGGCGCAGGCCUCCUUCCUUUUGGUCUCUCUCCUCUAUUCCCGUAUGGCCCAAUAAGGCCCAUAUACUCCCCGGCGAAUUCCCGUAACUCUCCGGUACUCCGAAAAAUACCCGAAUCACUCGGAACCUUUUCGAUGUCCGAAUAUAGUCGUCCAAUAUAUUGAUCUUUACAUCUCGACCAUUUCGAGACUCCUCGUCAUGUCCCCGAUCUCAUCCGGGACUCCGAACUCCUUCUGUACAUCAAAACUUAUAAACUCAUAAUAUAACUGUCAUCGAAACCUUAAGCGUGCGGACCCUACGGUUCGAGAACAAUGUAGACAUGACCGAGACACGUCUCCGGUCAAUAACCAAUAGCGGGACCUGGAUGCCCAUAUUGGCUCCUACAUAUUCUACGAAGAUCUUUAUCGGUCAGACCGCAUAACAACAUACGUUGUUCCCUUUGUCAUCGGUAUGUUACUUGCCCGAGAUUCGAUCGUCGGUAUCUUAAUACCUAAUUCAAUCUCGUUACCGGAAAGUCUCUUUACUCGUUCCGUAAUACAUCAUCUCACAACUAACUCAUUAGUUGCAAUGCUUGCAAGGCUUAUGUGAUGUGCGUUACCGAGAGGGCCCAGAGAUACCUCUCCGACAAUCGGAGUGACAAAUCCUAAUCUCGAAAUACGCCAACCCAACAUGUACCUUUAGAGACACCUGUAGAGCUCCUUUAUAAUCACCCAGUUACGUUGUGACGUUUGGUAGCACACAAAGUGUUCCUCCGGCAAACGGGAGUUGCAUAAUCUCAUAGUCAUAGGAACAUGUAUAAGUCAUGAAGAAAGCAAUAGCAACAUACUAAACGAUCGGGUGCUAAGCUAAUGGAAUGGGUCAUGUCAAUCACAUCAUUUUCCUAAUGAUGUGAUCCCGUUAAUCAAAUAACAACUCUUUUGUUUAUGGUUAGGAAACAUAACCAUCUUCGAUUAAUGAGCUAGUCAAGUAGAGGCAUACUAGUGACACUCUGUUUGUCUAUGUAUUCACACAUGUAUUAUGUUUCCGGUUAAUACAAUUCUAGCAUGAAUAAUAAACAUUUAUCAUAAGGAAAUAAAUAAUAACUUUAUUAUUGCCUCUAGGGCAUAUUUCCUUCAGUCUCCCACUUGCACUAGAGUCAAUAAUCUAGAUCACAUCGCCAUGUGAUUUAACAUCAAUAGUUCAUAUCUUUAUGUGAUUGGUUCACAUCUCCAUGUGACUAACACCCAAAAGGUUCUACUAGAUUCAAUAAUCUAGUUCACAUCGCUAUGUGAUUAAGACCCAAAAAGUGAUCAUGUUUUGCUUGUGAGAGAAGUUUAGUCAACGGGUCUACCACAUUCAGAUCUGUAUGUAUUUUGCAAAUUUCUAUGUCAACAAUGCUCCGCUCAGAGCUACUCUAGCUAUUUGCUCCCACUUUCAAUAUGUAUCCAGAUUGAGACUUAGAGUCAUCUGGAUUAGUGUCAAAACUUGCAUCAACGUAACCCUUUACAACGAACCUUUUUGUCACCUCCAUAAUCGAGAAUCAUAUCCUUAUUCCACUAAGGAUAAUUUUGACCGCUGUCCAGUGAUCUACUCCUAGAUCACUAUUGUACUACCUUGCCAAAAUCAGUGUAGGGUAUACAAUAGAUCUGGUACAUAGCAUGGCAUACUUUAUAGAACCUAUGGCUGAGGCAUAGGGAAUGACUUUCAUUCUCUUUCUAUGUUCUGUCGUGGUCGGGUUUUGAGUCUUACUCAAUUUCACACCUUGUAACACAGACAAGAACUCUUUCUUUGACUGUUCUAUUUUGAACUACUUCAAAAUCUUGUCAAGGUAUGUACUCAUUGAAAAAAAACUUAUCAAGCGUCUUGAUCUAUCUCUAUAGAUCUUGAUGUUCAAUAUGUCAGCAGCUUCACCGAGGUCUUUCUUUGGAAAAUUCCUUUCAAACACUCCUUUAUGCUUUGCAGAAUAAUUCUACAUUAUUUCCGAUCAACAAUAUGUCAUUCACAUAUACUUAUCAGAAAUUUUGUAGUGCUCCCACUCACUUUCUUGUAAAUACAGGCUUCAUCGCAAGUCUGUAUAAAACUAUAUGCUUUGAUCAACUUAUCAAAGCGUAUAUUCCAACUCCGAGAUGCUUGCACCAGUCCAUAGAUGGAUCGCUGGAGCUUGCAUAUUUUGUUAGCACCUUUAGGAUUGACAAAACCUUCUGGUUGUAUCAUAUACAACUCUUCUUUAAUAAAUCUGUUAUGGAAUGCAAUUUUGUUUAUCCAUUUGCCAGAUUUCAUAAAAUGCGGCAAUUGCUAACAUGAUUCAGACAGACUUAAGCAUAGGUACGAGUGAGAAACUCUCAUCGUAGUCAACACCUUGAACUUGUCGAAAACUUUUUCGACAAUUCUAGCUUUGUAGAUAGUAACACUACUAUCAGUGUCCAUCUUCCUCUUGAAGAUCCAUUUAUUAUCAAUGGCUUGCCGAUCAUCGGGCAAGUAAACCAAAGUCCAUACUUUAUUCUCAUACAUGGAUCCCAUCUCAGAUUUCAUGGCCUCAAGCCAUUUUGCGGAAUCUGGGCUCACCAUCGCUUAUUCAUAAUUCGUAGGUUCGUCAUGGUCAAGUAGCAUGACCUCCAGAACAGGAUUAUCAUACCACUCUGGUGCGGAUCUCACUCUGGUUUACCUACGAGAUUCGGUAGUAACUUGAUCUGAAGUUACAUGAUCAUCAUCAUUAGCUUCCUCACUAAUUGGUGUAGUAGUCACAGGAACAGAUUUCUGUGAUGAACUACUUUCCAAUAAGGGAGAAGGUACAAUUACCUUAUCAAGUUCUACUUUCCUCCCACUCACUUCUUUCGAGAGAACCUCCUUCUCUGGAAAUGAUCCAUUCUUAGCAACGAAUGUCUUGCCUUUGGAUCUGUGAUAGAAGGUGUACCCAACAGUAACUUUUUGGGUAUCCUAUGAAGACACACUUUUCCGAUUUGGGUUUGAGCUUAUCAGGAUGAAACUUUUUCACAUAAGCAUUGCAACCCCAAACUUUAAGAAACGACAACUUUGGUUUCUUGCCAAACCAUAGUUCAUACGGUGUCGUCUCAACAGAUUUAGAUGGUGCCCUUUUAACGUGAAUGCAGCUGUCUCUAAUGCAUAACCCCAAAACGAUAGUGGUAGAUCGGUAAGAGACAUCAUAGAUUGCACUAUACCCAAUAAAGUACGGUUAUGACGUUCGGACACACCAUUAUGCUAUGGUGUUCCAUGUGGCAUGAGUUUGUGAAACUAUUCCACAUUCUUUUAAUUGAAGACCAAACUCGUAACUCAAAUAUUUGUCUCCGCGAACAGAUCGUAGAAACUUUAUUUUCUUGUCACGAUGUUUUUCCACUUCACUCUGAAAUUCUUUGAACUUUUCAAACGUUUCAGACUUAUGUUUCAUCAAGUAGAUAUACCCAUAUCUGCUCAAAUCAUCUGUGAAGUUCAGAAAAUAACGAUACUUGCCAUGAGCCUUAACACUCAUUGGACCGCAUACAUUGGUAUGUAUUAUUUCCAAUAAGUCAGUUGCUCGCUCCGGAGAACGGAGUCUUAGUCAUCUUGCCCAUGAGGCAUGGUUCGCAAGCAUCAAGUGAUUCCAAAAUCCCAUCAGCAUGGAGUUUCUUCAUGCGCUUUACACCAAUAUGACCUAAACGGCAGUGCUACAAAUAAGUUGCACUAUCAUUAUUAACUUUGCAUCUUUUGGUUUCAAAUUUAUGAUUAUGUGUAUCACUACGAUCGAGAUCCAACAAACUAUGUUCGUUGGGUGUGUAACCAUAUAAGGUUUUAUUCCUGUAAACAGAACAACAAUUUAUUCUCUUACUUAAAUGAAUAACCGUAUUACAAUAAACAUGAUCAAAUCAUAUUCAUGCUCAACGCAAACACCAAAUAACACUUAUUCAGGUUCAACACUAAUCCCGAAAGUAUAGGGAGUGUGCGAUGAUGAUCAUAUCAAUCUUGGAACCACUUCCAACACACAUCGUCACUUCACCCUUAACUAGUCUCUGUUUAUUCUGCAACUCCCGUUUCAAGUUACUAAUCUUAGCAACUGAACUAGUAUCAAAUACUGAGGGGCUGCUAUAAACACUAGUAAAGUACACAUCAAUAACAUGUAUAUCAAAUAUACUUAUGUUCACUUUGCCAUCCUUCUUAUCCGCCAAUCACUUGGGGUAGUUCCGCUUCCAGUGACCAGUCCCUCUGCAGUAGAAGCACUUAGUCUCAGGCUUAGGACCAGACUUGGGCUUCUUCAGUUGAGCAGCAACUUGCUUGCUGUUCUUCUUGAAGUUCCCCUUCUUCCCUCUGCCCUUUUUCUUGAAACUAGUGGUCUUGUCUACCAUCAACACUUGAUGUUUUUCUCGAUUUCUACCUUCGUCAAUUUCCGCAUUACGAAGAGUUUGGGAAUCGUUUCCGUUAUCCCUUGCAUAUCAUAGUUCAUCACGAAGUUCUACUAACUUGGUGAUGGUGACUAGAGAAUUCUGUCAAUCACUAUCUUAUCUGGAAGAUUAACUCCCACUUGAUUCAAGCGAUUGUAGUACUCAGACAAUCUGGGCACAUGCUCACUAGUUGAGCGAUUCUCCUCCAUCUUUUAGCUAUAGAACUUGUUGGAGACUUCAUAUCUCUCAACUCGGGUAUUUGCUUGAAAUAUUAACUUCAACUGCUGGAACAUCUCAUAUGCUCCAUGACGUUCAAAAACGUCUUUGAAGUCCCGAUUCUAAGCCAUUAAGCAUGGUGCACUAAACUAUCAAGUAGUCAUCAUAUUGAGCUAGCCAAACGUUCAUAACGUCUGCAUCUGCUCCUGCAAUAGGUCCGUCACCUAGCGGUGCAUCAAGGACAUAAUUCUUCUGUGCAGCAAUGAGGAUAAACCUCAGAUCACGGAUCCAAUCCGCAUCAUUGCUACUAACAUCUUUCAACACAAUUUUCUCUAGGAACAUAUCAAAAUAAACACAGGGAAGCAACAACGCGAGCUAUUGAUCUACAACAUAAUUUGCAAAAUACUACCAGGACUAAUUUCAUGAUAAAUUUAAGUUCAAUUAAUCAUAUUACUUAAGAACUCCCACUUAGAUAGACAUCCCUCUAAUCCUCUAAGUGAUUACGUGAUCCAAAUCAACUAAACCAUGUCCGAUCAUCACGUGAGAUGGCGUAGUUUCAUUGGUGAACAUCACUAUGUUGAUCAUAUCUGCUAUAUGAUUCACAUCGACCUUUCGGUCUCCGUGUUCCGAGGCCAUAUCUAUAUAUGCUUGGCUCGUCAAGUAUAACCUGAGUAUUCUGCGUGUGCAACUGUUUUGCACCCGUUGUAUUUGAAUGUAGAGCCUAUCACACCCGAUCAUCACGUGGUGUCUCAGCACGAAGAACUUUCGCAAUGGUGCAUACUCAGGGAGAACACUUCUUGAUAAUUAGUGAGAGAUCAUCUUAUAAUGCUACCGUCAAUCAAAGCAAGAUAAGAUGCAUAAAAGAUAAACAUCACAUGCAAUCAAUAUAAGUGAUAUGAUAUGGCCAUCAUCAUCUUGUGCUUGUGAUCUCCAUCUUCGAAGCACCGUCAUGAUCACCAUCGUCAUCGGCGCGACACCUUGAUCUCCAUCGUAGCAUCGUUGUCAUCUCGCCAAUCUUAUGCUUCCACGACUAUCGCUACCGCUUAAUGAUAAAGUAAAGCAUUACAGCGCGAUUGCAUUGCAUACAAUAAAGCGACAACCAUAUGGCUCCUGCCAGUUGCCGAUAACUCGGUUACAAAACAUGAUCAUCUCAUACAAUAAAAUUUAGCAUCAUGUCUUGACCAUAUCACAUCAUAGCAUGCCCUGCAAAAACAAGUUAGACGUCCUCUACUUUGUUGUUGCAAGUUUUACGUGGCUGCUACGGGCUUAAGCAAGAACCAAUCUUACCUACGCAUCAAAACCACAACGAUAGUUUGUCAAGUUGGUGCUGUUUUAACCUUCGCAAGGACCGGGCGUAGCCACACUCGGUUCAACUAAAGUUGGAGAAACUGUCAUCCGCUAGCCACCUUUGUGCAAAGCACGUCGGGAGAACCGGUCUCGCGUAAGCGUACGCAUAAUGUCGGUCCGGGCCGCUUCGUCCAACAAUACCGCCGAACCAAAAUAUGACAUGCUGGUAAGCAGUAUGACUUAUAUCGCCCACAACUCACUUGUGUUCUACUCGUGCAUAUAACAUCAACAUAUAAAACCUAGGCUCUGAUACCACUGUUGGGGAAUGUAGUAAUUUCAAAAAUUUCCUACGCACACGCAAGAUCAUGGUGAUGCAUAGCAACGAGAGGGGAGAGUGUGAUCUACGUACCCUUGUAGACCGACAGCGGAAGCGUUGUGACAACGCGGUUGAUGUAGUCGUAUGUCUUCACGAUCCGACCGAUCCAAGCACCAUUACUCUGGCACCUCCAAGUUCUUGGCACACGUUCAGCUCGAUGACGAUCCCCGGGCUCCGAUCCAGCAAAGCGUCGGGGAGGAGUUCCGUCAGCACGAUGGCAUGGUGACGAUCUUGAUGUUCUAUUGUCGCAGGGCUUCGCCUAAGCACCGCUACAAUAUGACCGAGGUGGAAUAUGGUGGAGGAGGCACCGCACACGGCUAAGGAACGAUCAUGAAGAUCAACUUGUGUGUCUAGAGGUGCCCCCCUGCCCCCGUAUAUAAAGGAGCAAGGGGGAGGGGGCGGCCGGCCUAGAAGGGGGCGCGCCAAGGGGAGUCCUACUCCCACCGGGAGUAGGACUCCUUCCUUCCUUGUUGGAGUAGGAGAAGGGGAAAGAGGGGGAGAGGAAGAAGGAAAAGGGGGCUGCGCCCCUUGUCCAAUUCGGUCCAGAGGGGGGGCGCAGGCCUCCUUCCUUUUGGCCUCUCUCCUCUAUUCCCGUAUGGCCCAAUAAGGCCCAUAUACUCCCCGGCGAAUUCCCGUAACUCUCCGGUACUCCGAAAAAUACCCGAAUCAGUCGGAACCUUUCCGAUGUCCGAAUAUAGUCGUCCAAUAUAUCGAUCUUUACGUAUCGACCAUUUCGAGACUCCUCGUCGUGUCCCCGAUCUCAUCCGGGACUCUGAACUCCUUCGAUACAUCAAAACUCAUGAACUCAUAAUAUAACUGUCAUCGAAACCUUAAGCGUGCGGACCCUGCGGUUCAAGAACAAUGUAGACAUGACCGAGACACGUCUCCGGUCAAUAACCAAUAGCGGGACCUGGAUGCCCAUAUUGGCUCCUAGAUAUUCUACGAAGAUCUUUAUCGGUCAGACCGCAUAACAACAUACGUUGUUCCCUUUGUCAUCGGUAUGUUACUUGCCCGAGAUUCGAUCGUCGGUAUCUUAAUACCUAGUUCAAUCUCGUUACCGGAAAGUCUCUUUACUCGUUCCGUAAUACAUCAUCUCACAACUAACUCAUUAGUUGCAAUACUUGCAAGGCUUAUGUGAUGUGCAUUACCGAGAGGGCCCAGAGAUACCUCUCCGACAGUCGGAGUGACAAAUCCUAAUCUCGAAAUACGCCAACCCAACAUGUACCUUUGGAGACACCUGUAGAGAUCCUUUAUAAUCACCCAGUUACGUUGUGACGUUUGGUAGCACACAAAGUGUUCCUCCGGUAAACGGGAGUUGCAUAAUCUCAUAGUCAUAGGAACAUGUAUAAGUCAUGAAGAAAGCAAUAGCAACAUACUAAACGAUCAGGUGCUAAGCUAAUGGAAUGGGUCAUGUCAAUCACAUCAUUCUCCCAAUGAUGUGAUCCCGUUAAUCAAAUAACAACUCUUUUGUUUAUGGUUAGGAAACAUAACCAUCUUCGGUUAACGAGCUAGUCAAGUAGAGGCAUACUAGUGACACUCUGUUUGUCUAUGUAUUCACACAUGUAUUAUGUUUCUGGUUAAUACAAUUCUAGCAUGAAUAAUAAACAUUUAUCAUGAUAUAAGGAAAUAAAUAAUAACUUUAUUAUUGUCUCUAGGGCAUAUUUCCUUCACUAUCUACAUGCUGGUAUAUAUAGCAGUCCACCCAGUCCAACCCUAAAUCUAGCUCCCUUGUCCCAUCCCCGCCGCCACUCUCUCGGGAUCCAUCCCGCCACCCACCUGGUCUCGUCCUCGUUUUCAGCCACCAUCCCACCAGAUCUGAUCCAGGCCACCCUUCCAUCCCGACCAUCGGAUCGAGGAUCCAACGAUCGAGCCAGUCUCCUACAGCGCCCUGCCUCCCGCUCCCUCCUUGAUCCGGAUCGAGAGGAGCUCGACCCCGAGCCGCCGCCCGAGCACCUCCUCCUCACUAGUGCUUCCCUGGAUCCCGUCGUCCACCCAACCAGCGCAACCACCAGACCGGAGCAAGCCGGGCUCCUCCUCUGCUUCUUCCUCAAGCCGCCUGAACCAGCCCCUGCCUCCUCGACCUCCCGAGCUGUCACGCCUCCAUCUUCCCGUUUGUGCAAGGCAGGCGAGACGCCCAGGUCACGUCGACGUCCCUCCGCGCCUUCUUUCCUUUCCUCCUCUCGCUGCUCUUCCCUGACCAUCCGCUUCAUCUCGUUUCUUUUUGUCACAGUGAACCAGCGCCACCGCCGAAGCACGAGUUCACCACUGUCGUUGCCUCCAGCCCCGCCUCGGUUCCGGCUGGACCUGAACGGGAGCAUGCUCCGCUGCCCGUUCUCGGCCUCCCCCGCAUCCAAUUCCUCGCUUGCAUCUCCUCCAUCAGUGCCGCCAUGGAUGGCUAUGACCCGCGCCCGAGCUCCAUCUGCCGCCGCCGUUGCCCGGAACCGACGCCGCAUGACUCGAUCCGCCCGUUCCCGCCCGUUCCCGCCGUCCCCGUCGCCGGGACCCCUCCUGUCGUCGUCGCCUACAUCACCCUGGACGUGCUGUUGUUUCUGUUCUUCAGAAACAAACAGCAGCAGCUCGCCUGCUCGUCUCGCUCACGCGUUGACCGAGCGCAGCGCUAGCAGGCCUAGUUGCGCGCCCGCUGCAGGCCUUCCCUCUCCACUAGUUGGGUCAAGGCCCAGUGGUGAGCAGCCGCCAAACACCCCCCCUAUGUAGCUGGGCCAGACAGUUUCGGCCCAGUGGUUUUUUUUGGUUCUGCGAAUUUGAUAUUUAACCAGGGAUUUACAGAUUUGCAGACAAACCCCUAAGCUCCAUGCAUAUCAUAGCUCACCAACCGUGCAUCUUUUGUAAAAACUUAAUAUAUGAAACUUGCUUAGAAUUUUGUGUAGAUUAACAAUUUGCAACUUUCAUCCAUGUUAAAAAUAUUUAAAAUGUUGUUUGGUUAAAUUUGCUCCUAUGCCAUGAAAAAAAUGCUUUAAUUCAUAACUAAAUAACCGUAACUCCGAAUUUAAUAAACUUUAUAUGUAAAUGGGGUAGAAAAAAUCCUAGUUUAACAUGGUGGCCUUACUUUGCAUGUUUAACAACUCUAAAAUUGUGUUUAGGGCAGAUCAGUACCAUAACCAAAAUAUGCACAUGAGGAUUUUUCCGGACUUGUUGUUUGUUGUUCCGGCCUCAUUUAAACUUGUCUAGAUAGAUAGUUUCAUUAUGCUUCACCUCUUGCCAUGCUAACAACAUUUAAUAUUGUUGAGUACCUAAACAAGAGAGAACUAAAUAAGUCAUGUGGUGUUUUCUUCAAUAUGCAACUCCGCGGCAUAUUGUGCUCCACUUAAUUUGUAGGUUUGUUUGUGCACUUUGCCAUGCCAUGCUUCAUUAAACCGGACAUGCAUCAUACUUGAUUGUGCAUCAUGCCAUGUUCAUGUGUUGGUUGUUUACUAUGUUGUGUGCUUCUUUCCGGUGUUGCUUCUUCGGGUUGGUUCCGAUAAUGUUGCGUUUGUGAGGAUCCGUUCGACAACGUCCUUUUGUCUUCUUCAUGGACUCGUUCUUCUUCCUUGCGGGAUCUCGGGCAAGAUGACCAUACCCUCGAAAUCACUUAUAUCUUUGCUUGCUAGUUGCUCACUCUUUUGCUAUGCCUAUGCUGCGAUACCUACCACUUGCUUAUCAUGCCCCCAUAUUGUUAAGCCAAGCCUCUAACCCACCUUGUCCUAGCAAACCGUUGUUUGGCUAUGUUACCGCUUUGCUCAGCCCCUCUUAUAGCGUUGUUAGUUGCAGGUGAAGAUUGGAGUUUGUUCCUUGUUGGGACUUGGUCAUUAUGUUGGGAUAUCACAAUAUCUCUUAUUUAAUUAAUGCAUCUAUAUACUUGGUAAAGGGUGGAAGGCUCGGCCUUAUGCCUGGUGUUUUUGUUCCACUCUUGCCGCCCUAGUUUCUGUCAUAUCGGUGUUAUGUUCCCGGAUUUUGCGUUCCUUACACGGUUGGGUUAUAAUGGGAACCCCUUGACAGUUCGCUUUGAAUAAAACUCCUCCCGCAAGGCCCAACAUUGGUUUUACCAUUUGUCACCUAGCCUUUUUCUUUUCCCUUGGGAGUCGUGCUCCCGAGGGUCAUCUUUAUUUUAGCCCCCCCCCCCCUGGCCAGUGCUCCUCUGAGUGUUGGUCCAACAUGUCAGCUACCGGUGACCACCAGGGGCAACUCUGGGCUGGUCUACCGGAACCUUGGACAAUCCAGUGUGCCCUGAGAACGAGAUAUGUGCAGCUCCUAUCGGGAUUUGUCGGCACAUUCGGGUGGCUUUGCGGGUCUUGUUUUACCAUUGUCGAGGAUGUCUUGUAACCGGGAUGCCGAGUCUGAUCGGAAUGUCUUGGGAGAAGGAAUAUCCUUUGUUGACCGUGAAAGCUUGUGAUGGGCUAAGUUGGGACACCCCUGCAGGGAUUUGAACUUUCGAAAGCCAUGCCCGCGGUUAUGGGCAGAUGGGAAUUUGUUAAUGUCCGGUUGUAGAAAACCUGAAGUUUAUCUUAAUUAAAAUACAUCAACCGCGUGUGUUACCAUGAUGGUCUCUUCUCGGCGGGGUCCGGGAAGUGAACACGGUGUUGGAGUAAUGCUUGACGUAGGUUGUUCUAGGAUCACUUCUUGAUCAUAGUUUCUCGAAUGUGCUUUGCCUUCUCUUCUCGCUCUCAUUUGCGUAUGUUAGCCACCAUAUAUGCUCGCUUGCUGCAGCUCCACCUCAUACCUUUACCUUACCUAUAAGCUUAAAUAGUCUUGAUCGCGAGGGUGUCAGAUUUCUGAGUCUCCGUGACUCACAGAUACUUCCAAAACCAGUUUGCAGGUGUCGUUGAACCACGCAGGUGACGCAACCAAGCUCAAAGGAGGAGCUCAAUGAAGAUAUUGUUCUUUGUGUUGUUUCGAUUGAGUUGAUCAGUAGUGGAGCCCAGUUGGGGUUGAUCGGGGAUCUGUGUAGCAUUUGGGGUAGUCUUCUUUUAUUUUGGUUCCGUAGUCGGACCUUGAUUAUAUCUGGUUGAAUGUAAUGCGUUAUUCAUGUAAUUGUGUGAAGUGGCGAUUGUAAGCCAACUAUGUAUCUCUUUUCCUUAUGUAUUACAUGGGUUGUGUGAAGAUUACCUCACUUGCGACAUUGCUUUCAAUGCGGUUAUGCCUCUAAGUCGUGCUUCGACACGUGGGAGAUAUAGCCGUAUCGAGGGCGUUACAUAGACGCAUAGUUCAGGAACCCCCUACUUUAGAUCCGCCGGUUUUGACACCGACAGGGAGUCCGUGGACACUGAUUCAGGAGCCGACUAUCCAACGUUGUCUGCAUACAUUUUAACAACUAUUGGAACUAACCGGAAGAAAUUCAUGUAAACACGGUGGAUUUCAUAUAAACCGGACUGCCCUGCAAACCAAUACAGGUCCACGUGGAUGGCACAACACGUCCAGAUAACAUGAUAAGGGUGUACACGGGCGGUUUGAGGGUUGUAGUUGGAGAUGCCUUUAUAUAGUUUUGUUGGUGUUUGGCUGACAGGAGUUUCAACCCUUUAUUUGAGGUGGCCUGGUAGUUGUGUAGUGUUUUCUGUUUUAGUUCUUCUGAACCAUGUGUCUUUCAUAAUGAAAAUCGAGGAGGCAACCCUUUUGUUAAGUAAAAGAAAUUCUUUUUUUUGAGAGUACGACAAUGGCGUACCAUAUUUUUAUAGAAGGCAAAAGUUUAAUGUGUACAGGAUACCGUCAUCGGAUGCGAACAUCAUGUCGGCAAACACCCACACCAACAAAAACACAAGGUCACUCUCUCACAAACGGGUCUAAACCACCAACACCUAGCCCUGCUGCCAUCCAUUCUUUGAUCUCCUCACGUACCUGUACCACCAGUUGCGUAGGGGUUCUUUGCUGAUGAGGAUUGUUGAACACUCUCGUGUUACAUUGCUUCCAAAGAGCCCAAGUCGUUCCAAUAACGAAGGAGUCAAAACCUCUCCUGGUCCUUCUCGAGAAGUUCUUCCUGCUCCUCAUCCACCAGUCCAUAAACUUUAUGUCUAAGUUCGGAGGCUCAAUGUUUAGUUGGAAAGCCUCAAAACACCGAUGCCAAACCUCCCUCGCAAACACACAAUAUGCAAGGGUAUGGUCAAGAUUGUCUUCAUCAUGUAGGCAAGAGAAACAAACCGACGGCUCCUGCUGCAGUCCGUGGCGUGCUCUGCGAUCGCUAGUCCAUAGACGGUAUUGUACCAUGAGCCAAGCGAAAAUCUUGCAUGUCAAUGGAGCCCAGCUCCUCCAAAUGGUCAUGGUCGUAGGUUACUCUAUCAAUCCCAUGCAUAAGCGGUUAUAAACAAACCAUGCGGAGUGGCGUCCCAAUCCAUCCGCUGGCCAAAGAAAUUGGUCUCUCUCUCCUUUGCUUCUUGAUCCCAUCACCGGGCUGGUUCCCACGACUGCCGCGCUUCCUACUGCUUUUGUUGCGCCGCUGUCGUCCCCUACGGUGGACUCCCUGAGCUCGACCGCCUCGCCUCUGCCCGUGCCUGUUGCUGGCCUGGAGGUGCAUGGACUUGUUCUGCUACCUGAUGCUGGCCUGGAGCCCGCGGCUGCUGUCAUGCUACCUGAAGAUGGACUGGAGCCCGUGCAUGGAGUUGGCCUAGGGCCCGUGCAUGUAAACGUGUUUGUUGAUGGCCUGGAGCCCGUGCAUGGAGGUGGCCUAGGGCCCGUGCAUGUAAGUGUGUUGCCAUGUGCUGACUUGGCGCAUAAAAACGUGCUGCCACCUGAUGACUUGGUGGUUGGGUUGCUCCCUGUUGGGCCUGUGGUGGCUCGCCCGGUUACCUUCAAUGGGUCGUCUGCUGCUGUUGUUCUGCUGCCCGGCGACGCCCACGCUAAGUUGCUCGCCGAUGAUCCCGCUGCGCUAGCCGUCGUGGCAGCGCCUGAAGACGGACCGCUUCCUCCAGCUACUGUGGACACGUUCCUCGACUCCGUCGCCAACUGUGCCGACGCUCCGCUGCUGCCCACUCCAGCUCCACGCAAAGCCAAGGCUGCUGUAGCGGUUACUCGUUGCAGCGCCCGCCUUGACAAGAAGAAGGCUCUGCUCCCGCCGGGUGCCGGCUCGGACGCGGUCCAAGAGAUCAUUGCUAGGGUCUGCGGUGUCCUUGAUCCAUCCGUCGGCUACGACGACAAGGCCAAGCAAGCGUACCUAGACAUGUUCGCCACUCCGCUAGCCGCUCCCGUGGUCCAAGCGAUUGCGGGGCUUGUUUCACAUGCCAAGAACCUCACACAAAAGAAGCUGAAGAAGGGCAAGAAAGCAACCGUGGAGACUCAAGUUGCUGAGGUGUAGGUGUCCUAGUAGUUCUAGUGGCCCUUGCGUCUGACGCUCGGCCUGGGAGGUCUUCCGUCCCAAGAUGUAUCGCCUUCUGCUUUCUGCUUUCCGUUUUAGUCUCCAGAUGCUGCGCAUCGCCGCGGCUCCAGGUCGCCUAUCGUCUCACCCUUGGGGUGCUUCAUAUUCGUCUGCUAUCUUCUACAACAUGUGUGUUUACGUCAACCGUCCAUCUACCGGCUACUCGGCUUUGAGAAGCUGCUCCUGCCGUGAUCACUCAAAGUUUCCUUAAUGGCACAACCUAAUGUCAACAUCAUCCGUUGGAACGUUCGAGGCCUGAACUCGCGUGCCCGCCGGGAUGCCGUUCGGGACAUCGUCCGAGACUCCCAUGCAUCCAUUGUCUGCCUCCAAGAGACAAAACUCCAGGUCGCUGAUGACGCCACCAUUCGCGAGAUGCUUGGCCCGUGUUUCGUCGCAAACUGUUAUAUCCUCCCGGCCGACGGCACCCGCGGGGGCUUGAUUCUGGCCACGUCGGGUCGCUUCUUCACCCUAUCCGACUUCCAUGCAACUCCAGGCUCCAUCUCCGCCAUCGUCACCUUGCUUAACGAGCGCGCUUCAUGGACAAUCACGGGCGUCUAUGGCCCGCAGGGCGAGCAAGACAAGUUGGCCUUCAUUGAGGAGCUGAGGACUCUCAAUACCAUGGCCAGAAGCGAGUGGCUCCUUCUGGGGGAUUUCAACCUCAUCACUAAAGCGGCGGAUAAGAGCAACACCAACAUCAACCGCCGCCUGGUGGGCAAGUUCCAUGGGGCUCUUGAUUUCUUGCAGCUAAAGGAGCUUCACCUAGGCGGGCGCCGUUUCACCUGGUCAAAUGCGCAGGCCAACCCGGUCCUUACCAAGAUUGACCACGUGUCCCACUCUGACGAUUGGGACAUGCUCUUUCCCAAUGCGCACCUUCAGGCUAUCACCACAGCUUGCUCGGAUCAUGCUCCAUUAUAUCUUCAGGGGUGCGUCGACGACUUAAGAAAGCCUUCCUUUAAAUUCGAGGAAUUCUGGCUUCGUCUCCCGGGCUUCAAGGAAACCGUUGCCUUGGCAUGGAGCAAACCUGUUCAGGCCCGGGAUGCCAUCCGCAAGAUUCAUAUCAAGCUCUGUCGGACCGCGAAGGCCCUGCGCAAGUGGCAAAAGGAAAAGGUCGGGAUGCUUGGCUCCCAGAUCACAGUUGCCAAGGAGAUCAUCUGGCGCCUGGAUGUUGCUGAGGAGGGAAGACCGCUCUCGGACUUGGAGAGGGAAUUGCGUAAACAACUUAAGGCCUCGUACCUGGGGCUCCUCGCCAUUCAGAAAAUCAAGCUGAGACAGCGUUCUCAGCUCAACUGGAUCCGGCUGGGGGAUGCCACCACAAAGCUUUUCCAUGCUCGAGCGAACAGACGAAGGCGUAAGAACUUCAUCCAGACAAUCACCACCACCUCGGGGCUGGCAAUUACUAGACAGGACAAGGAACGGGCCCUUCUGGACCACUUCCAGGCUAACAUCGGCACGCCUGCCCUGCGCACCAAGUCCAUUGUCUGGGAGAACAUCGGGAUGCAGCGCCACGACCUAUCGGCUCUGGAUGCUCCAUUCGACGAGGCGGAGAUUAAGGAGGCGGUAUUCUCCUUACCUUCGGUCAAGGCCCCGGGCCCUGAUGGUUUCGUCGGCGCCUUCUUCAAAUCAUGCUGGGAGAUCAUCAAAGUGGAUGUCGUGGCUGUGGUGAUGCAGCUCACGAACCUGAGAGGCGACUGCGCUGGCCUGAUCAAUUCUGCCAACAUUAUUAUGCUCCCGAGAAAAGCCGGCGCAUCCUCGAUUGGCGACUACCGCCCAAUCAGUUUGAUACACAGCAUCUCCAAGAUCUUCUCCAAGCUGUUGGCUAACCGACUAGCCCCUCUUCUUCCGUCGCUGGUUUCCAAGUGCCAGAGUGCCUUUGUGCAGAAACGGUGCAUCCACGAUAAUUUCCUACACGUGCAAAACAUGAUCAAAGAAUUGCACCGCUCUUCAACGCCAGGCCUUUUCCUCAAGCUCGACAUCUCCAAGGCUUUCGACUCUGUGGGUUGGGCUUACCUCCUGGAGGUGCUGCAACAGUUGGGAUUUGGGCAGCGCUGGCGGGAAUGGAUCUGCAUGACCCUCGCUUCAUCUUCCUCUAGGGUGCUGUUAAAUGGGGAGCCGGGAACCCCAUUCAUACAUGGAAAAGGCCUUCGCCAGGGCGACCCAGUGUCACCUAUGCUCUUCAUUCUGCCCAUCGAUCCUCUGCAACUUAUGUUUCGGGCGGCUUCCCGGGCCGGGACCCUCAAGCCCAUCAGGGCGCGGACGGCCUCCUGCAGGGUUUCUCUCUAUGCAGACGAUGCGGGCAUCUUCGCUAACCCGGUCAAAGAAGAGAUCGACGCCAUCGCUAGGAUCCUUGCCUGUUUUGGGGAUGCAUCGGGCCUCGUCACAAACGUCAGCAAGACCGAGGUGUUUCCCAUUCGCUGCCAGGACAUCGAUCUCCCGGCAAUCCUCUCAGCCUUCCCGGCCAAGCUGGCCUCAUUCCCCGGCCGAUACCUAGGUCUCCCACUACAUACCAGGCGGCUCAGAAGGGUUGACCUCCAACCUCUUCUAGACAACGCAAUGGGCCGGUUGCCGGGCUGGAAGGGGAAGAACCUGGCGCGACCGGGCAGGGUCUCCCUUGCAAAGUCUGUAUUGUGCGCCAUCGCAAAUCAUCACCUCACUGCGCUCUCGCUUCCCACUUGGGCAAUCCAGAAGCUUAGUAAGAUCACUCGUAACUUCAUCUGGUGCGGGGAAGACUCGGAAAACGCAUUUGGCGGACAUUCUCUGGUCAACUGGAAGACUGUCUGCCGGCCUAAGCCCAUGGGGGGCCUGAAAAUCACUGACCUCGAGAGAUUUGGUCGGGCGCUUCGUCUGCGCUGGCCUUGGCUUAUGUGGACUGAUCCUGGCCGCCAAUGGGUGGGCUCUGCAGUGCCCUGCGAUGAGACGGAUAUGGCGCUCUUCAGGGCUUCUACCACCAUCUCCUUGGGCAAUGGGAGAAAAUCCUUAUUCUGGCACGACGACUGGACAGGACGGGGCCCCCUGUCCCGGGCCUUCCCGGAGCUGUACAAAAUUGCCACCAGGAAGAGGAGAACUGUGAUGAAGGAGCUCCAGGAGGAGAACUGGAUCAGAUCGGUGGCCCGUCUUUCAUCGCCUACCCAUCUGCAGGAGUUCAUUGCCCUCGCAUCAGCUAUCUCUCAGGUUGAGUUGAACCCGGACCGGGAGGACUCCAUCACUUGGCGGUGGACCCCAAAUGGCAUGUACUCUGCUGCUUCGGCCUACGCGGCCCAGUUCUCUGCAUCCUAUCCCAGGUUUUCCCCAGCCAAGAUUUGGGAGGCACACGCUGAGCCAAAAUGCAAGUUCUUCGCCUGGCUUGUGCUCCACAGAAAAAUCCUCACGGCCGACAUGCUAGCCGUUCGUGGCUGGCCGCACAACCCUCGCUGCUCCCUUUGCCUUGGGGCACCGGAGACGGCCACUCAUCUCUGUAAGGACUGCCCGUUUGCCGCCGCAGUUUGGUCUCACGUCCAGGUGUGGACGGGAGAGGAUUCUGGGGCCACGCCCACGUUGCCCCCUUCGAUGGGGAUUUCGGACUGGUGGGAUUCGUUCACCACCAAUUUGCCCAAGGACGACGGAAGAAGGCGGAGCGGCCGCUUCCUUUACACCAUCUGGAACAUCUGGAAGGAGCGAAACCGCCGCAUCUUCAAUGGAACUCGCCUCACGCACCUAGAGGUAGCAGCUAUUGCCUUCGACGACAUCAAGCAAAGGACUUUGGCCUUUGGCCGAGCACAGGUAGCAGCCGGUAUCGGUUGAUUAGUUUCUAUGGGUUUUUGUCCGGUUUCUCUCGGAAAACCGGAACACUCUUGUACAUAAACUUUAUUCUCCUUCUUAUAUGAAAAGGCAGUGCUUCUGCCGGUUCCUCAAAAAAAACGUAGCAAUGGCCUGGCAAAGGUGCGCGGCUUGUAUGUGCGCCAUGAAGGAAAGGUCCCCUUGCACGUCGUGGAUCCAUGCAUUCUCAAUCAAAGCCUGGUGAACAGUUCUCAUGUUCCUUGCGCGCGGCUGCACAAGCUGAACAAUGAGCAACGUAAUUUCUCCUACGAUGGACCAAUGGAUCCAUCUAUCCUUCUAGCAUAGGACUUUGUUGCCUUCACCCAGGAUUAUCUUGACCAUACUUUGGAAUACCAUGCAAGUGUCCUUGUCUUCAACCAUGCUCAACCCAUGCCACGGCCUUUGCUGAUCUACUCUUUUCAACCAUUUCCAUCGGACUCGCAGUGCAAGCGCUUGCAACCGGAUGUUCUUGAUCCCUAGUUCGCCGAAUCGCGUAGGGCGACAUAUGGUCUCCCAUGCGACGAUCGAGGCAUUAACCUCCAUUUACUCUGUCCUUACCUAUGCAGAAGAAAGCCCGCAUGCACUUAUCGAUAUCUUCGUAGACCCACUCUGGGGUGUUAAGCAUCAUUAGUUGAUGAAUUGGCCUCGCCGCGAUCAUCUAGAGAAGAAUUAGUAAAUAUGUUAAGAGUAACCUGACAUCUUCCAACUAUUUGGUGGCUGUAUUACAGAAACUAGAUGAUGCCCCGCACGUUGUUGCGGGAAUAUUUUGCAAUAUCUCAAUGAGGUUUUUGGUUACACGAAACAUCAAUAUUUGAAAUAAUAGUUUUUGAAAGUAUAUAAGAAUUUGAUAUAAAUAGCAUAAUAGAAUGGAAUUUUACAUGCACGCAUGGAUGCAUGGUGAAGUGGAUUUUUAAAAUGCAUAGUUGUAUGUUAAGGUGGGCCUUUUUUAUGCAUGUUGAAUAAUGAGGUGUCAUGUUUGCAUAUUGAGAGAAAUAUGUUAGUGGGGUUAAUUAUUUAGAUACAGAAGAUGUGUCUUUUUGCCCAUCGAGAUUGGUUUCCUAAGGCCCUGUUUGGUUCCAAUAAGUCACCUGGCUUAUAAGUUAGGUGACUUAAAACCAGUGACUUAUAAGUCACACCUGUUUGGUUGCCAUCUGACUUAUGAGUCAUCUGAGCGCACCUUUCCACCUUGUUUUUUAUGUAAAGGUGGUGGGACCCAUGCAAAAGGUGGUGACUUAUAAGUUUUAAGUUGGGGUGGAACAAUUUAUGACUUAUAAGUUAGAGUGAUUUAUAAGUUGGGUCCGUUUAGCAAAAUAAGUUACUUUUUGCACUUUUCGAUUUAUGAGUUGAUGACUUAUUUAGAAUCAAACAGGACCUAAAUUUUUUUGAAAACACCGACCAAAGAGGCAAAACCCGACGCGACGCAUCCCCAGCCAAAAGGCGGAGGCCACAUGACGAGACGGCUCGUCGGCCUCGAUUCCACCUCGUCGUGAACGCGGAACCGCUCCAUGAUCACCCCGGCCAAUCAGGGAUAGCUGGACCUUCCAGUCGCUUCCACCCCCAAACUAAACCCCGUCACGGCACGGAGCGGCAGCGCCACGCGUCCCUCCCCUUCUCCACCCACCCCACGUGUGCGUCGAGGUGGCGCUCGCCUCCCCGUUCUGCUCCGCUUAUAUCCCAGCCUCAGUCGACCAAGGCUUUCACCAUCCCACACACAGCAUUUCCAUUUAGCGAUCGAGCAACAAGCCAAUUCGUCACAGUGAUCAAGGAGUCUGAGAUUGCCUAGCAGCUGCACCGACGUUCGUGCGACGAUGGACGCGCCGGCCAUGCUCACGCGCAAGCACGUCCCCGAGAACAUCGCCGGUGAGUAGUGCCACACCGAAUCUGGUCUCUGGAUCCCCGGCACGCACGGCGUCGCCAUUCAUAUAUCCGUUACGAGUUCGUUGUUGAUUUACUUGCAAAUGGCAUACGUGUGUGACUGCAGCUGAGGGGGAGGGCGGGCAGCAACAGAUGCACCGGGACGAGAAGCAGCACAAGCCGGUGCUCAAGAAGGUCAAGGACAAGGUGAAGAAGAUCAAGAACACCAUCGCCGGCCACGGCCACGGCAACGGCAACGGCCACGAUCACGAUCACGACCAGGACACCGGUGGCAGCAACAGCACCGACGAGGACGAGGAGGAUGCGGCCAUGAGGGAAGCCAAAGUGGAGAAGGGCGGGUACCAGCAAGACGUCGAGGACAAGCCCAUCUUCGCAGACUCCAGCCCCGAGCUGCACGGCGCACCCAGUAAGUAGAUGCUCGCGGUGUGUGUCACUCGUGUGCGCGUGCGUGCUGUCGGUGCUUAAGGCUUGUAUCGCUUGUGAUAAUCCGUUGCAGUGUACGACUCGGAGAGGAUCCCGGCGGCGGCGAAGGAGGUGAAGCACAACGACGCUCCGGGGGUGCGGUUCGGUGACAUUGGCGGCCCGGCAGCGGCGCAUGAGGUGAACCGCGAGGACGCCGCGGGGGUGCGGGUCGGCGACUUCGGCGGCCCGGCAGCGGCGCAUGAGGUGAAGCGCGACGACGCCGCGGGGGAGCGGCUCGGCGACUUCGGCGGCCGGGCGUCGGCGAAGGAGGUGCAGCGCGACGACACCCAGGGGGUGCGGCUCGGCGAUCUCGGCGGCCCAGUCGUCGAGGACCCGGCCGCGCCGAACUCGAGGACGCCCAUGCCGCGAGGUGGCGAGGACAUCGGCACCACGGACGUCGUCCGUGACUUCGAGGCGAUGACUGUGUCAGACGACCCCAAGCAAGUCCACGUGAGCAAAGAGUAUGAGGCAAUGCCGGUGUCGGACGGCAACGGGGAGGAAUGGAACGAUGCACCCACUGACGCCGACUACACCGGGAGCUACACGGACAGGCUCAAGAACACGGCAGCUGGCACCACCGAGUAUGGCAAGAAGCUGGCGAGCACGGUGUAUGAGAAGGUCGCCGGCGUCGGCACGGUCGUGGCGAGCAAGGCGCAGCAGGUCACCCCCGGCUUCGGUGCUGGCGGGGACGCGCAGGACGACUCCAGCGCUACUGCCGCCCCUGACUCAGUGACCGCAGGUGCCGGGAAGAGGGACCUCGACUUGCCGAAAGAGGGAACGACGGCGUCCUACACCGGCACCGAGGAGCUGAAGAACGCGGCCACGGACGCGGCGGGCGCGGAGGGGCUGAAGAACGCGGCCACAGACGCGGCGGGCGCGGAGGGCGCGCCUGGCACGACGUACACCGACAAGAUCAAGUCCGCUGCGGCGGGCACCACGGAGUACGGCAAGAAGCUGGCGAGCACGGUGUACGAGAAGGUCGCCGGCGUGGGCACGGCCGUGGCGAGCAAGGCGCAGCAGGUGACACAAUCGGCCGGCACCGCCACUCCUGUAGUCGGCGCGCAGGACGGCGCCACCACCACUGCGACGGCCACCCCAGGCGUCGGUGCGCAGGACGGCGCCACCACCAGGGCGACGGUCACCCCUGGCGCGGGUGGGCCGGGGAACGGGCAGGACAAGGGGGUGACCGGCGUGACAGCCUACAUCGCCGAGAAGCUGCGCCCGGGCGACGAGGAGCGCUCGCUGAGCGAGGCCAUCACCGGCGCCGUGCAGCAGCGCAAGGAGGGGGUCGGGAGCACGGUGGCCAAGGCGCGCGAGGUGCCGGCACAGGCGGUGACCAGGGCGCGCGGCGCCGUCACGUCGCUCACCGGCGGGAACCGCGUCUCGGAGACCAUGCAGCCCACCACAGGUACGCACCACACGCCCCAUCACCCUUACUAACCGCAAACAUAUUUUCGGCGUUCGCAGCGGAGUUGACGACGGGUUCUUGUUCUUGUUGCUGCAGAGGGGAACAUCGGGGAGGGCGUCGCGGCGGAGGGGCCAGUGCUCCACGGCGAGGCACCGAGGACCAACACGAAUGUGAUGUGAAGUACAGCAGCGUGUGAUCAGUUCGUGGGAUCGCUGGAAUAAGUCGCCUGGCUGGUUCAGGUGUACACUGACUGGUGUUUGGGUUCAUCUGGGGCUUAGCUGCUUUAUCGUUCGUGUGUUUGGGGCUUGUGUUCCAGCAGUGUUCGUGUGAGUUCACACGUUUUGUGUGUUCUGUAAAUCAUGUACGAUACGCGUGUGUAUGUACAUGUUUCUGUCUUUGUCUUUUAAGUUCUUCUAAAUUUCGUUUGUAAUCUGUGUGUUCAAAGUUGAAACACUCGAUGUUUCUUCGUAUGUUUUGUUGUGCUUGUUGUUUCCAAAUGAUGUGUGCUCACUCUGAUCAGCUAACGCUGAACUUCUUCAGCAGCAUUGUGCUACCCUAAAUUGGGAAAGUUCAGUUUAGAG
rnacentral:lncRNA from 1 species